rnacentral:rRNA from 1 species
UACGUAGGGCGCAAGCGUUGUCCGGAAUUAUUGGGCGUAAAGAGCUCGUAGGCGGCUUGUCACGUCGGAUGUGAAAGCCCGGGGCUUAACCCCGGGUCUGCAUUCGAUACGGGCUAGCUAGAGUGUGGUAGGGGAGAUCGGAAUUCCUGGUGUAGCGGUGAAAUGCGCAGAUAUCAGGAGGAACACCGGUGGCGAAGGCGGAUCUCUGGGCCAUUACUGACGCUGAGGAGCGAAAGCGUGGGGGAGCGAACAGG